rnacentral:rRNA from 1 species
GACGAACGCUGGCGGCGUGCUUAACACAUGCAAGUCGAACGGUAAGGCCCUUCGGGGUACACGAGUGGCGAACGGGUGAGUAACACGUGGGUGAUCUGCCCUGCACUUCGGGAUAAGCCUGGGAAACUGGGUCUAAUACCGGAUAGGACCACUGCCUGCAUGGGUGGUGGUGGAAAGCUUUUGCGGUGUGGGAUGGGCCCGCGGCCUAUCAGCUUGUUGGUGGGGUGAUGGCCUAACAAGGCGACGACGGGUAGCCGGCCUGAGAGGGUGACCGGCCACACUGGGACUGGGAUACGGCCCAGACGCCUCCGCGAGGCGGGAGUGGGGAAUAUUGAACAAUGGGCGCAAGCCGGAUGCAGCGACGCCGCGUGAGGGAUGACGGCCUUCGGGUUGUAAACCUCUUUCAGCACCGACGAAGCGCAAGUGACGGUAGGUGCAGAAGAAGGACCGGCCAACUACGUGCCAGCAGCCGCCGUAA